AAGUCGUAACAAGGUUUCCGUAGGUGAACCUGCGGAAGGAUCAUUAGUGAAUUGAAUAUGUUAGCGGACCUCUUCGGAGUCCCUAGCAUCAAAUCAUAUCCAUAACACCUGUGAACUGUAAGGCUGUCUUGAAAACGAAAGUGAUUAGAGCGCCUGCCCAUUUUAUACAAACAUUAAAGUAACAAACGUAGUCUUAUUAUAAUCUAAUAAAACUUUCAACAACGGAUCUCUUGGCUCUCGCAUCGAUGAAGAACGCAGCGAAAUGCGAUAAGUAAUGUGAAUUGCAGAAUUCAGUGAAUCAUCGAAUCUUUGAACGCACCUUGCGCUCUUUGGUAUUCCGAAGAGCAUGCCUGUUUGAGUGUCAUGAAAAUAUCAACCUUGACUUGGGUUUAGUGCUCUUGUCUUGGCUUGGAUUUGGCUGUUUGCCGCUCGAAAGAGUCGGCUCAGCUUAAAAGUAUUAGCUGGAUCUGUCUUUGAGACUUGGUUUGACUUGGCGUAAUAAGUUAUUUCGCUGAGGACAAUCUUCGGAUUGGCCGAGUUUCUGGGACGUUUGUCCGCUUUCUAAUACAAGUUCUAGCUUGCUAGACAUGACUUUUUUAUUAUCUGGCCUCAAAUCAGGUAGGACUACCCGCUGAACUUAAGCAUAUCAAUAAGCGGAGGAAAAGAAACUAACAAGGAUUCCCCUAGUAACGGCGAGUGAAGCGGGAAGAGCUCAAAUUUGAAAUCUGGUGGCCUCAGGCUAUCCGAGUUGUAAUCUAUAGAAACAUUUUCCGCGUUGGCCCAUGUACAAGUCUCUUGGAAUAGAGCGUCAUAGAGGGUGAGAAUCCCGUCCUUGACAUGGACUACCAGUGCUUUGUGAUAUGUUUUCAAC
rnacentral:sRNA from 1 species